UUUCUGGUCACUAAUUUUAUUCCUUAGUUAAGACAAUUCGUAAUUUUUUAUGCUUACUGACAAGAGUCCCUUCACGUACACAAUAAUUUGACUAUUUUCUGCAAGUCUAUAACAUUUUAGGAUUAAAGAAUGAGCAAAUUUUCCAUCAUUGUAAGAAUCUAAAAAUAAAACUUUUUAAAACAAACUUAGAACUUUCAGUCACUGUACACGGGGGGAAAAUGGCAUGUUUACAUUUUACAUGAAACGAAUGUAGAAGUAUCCGAACUUCGCCGUUCGCCUUUCAGUCAAUCAUCAAUGUCACUUGUGGAUUUCGGGACAGGUCUCCUCUAGUAAAGAGCCCCAAGUUCUUGGUCACAACGACAAAUCACAGUCAUUCGUUCCUGCAUGAGAAAGGAUUUCUGAAAUGGAGAGGAAUUUCGAUGCUGCCAGGCAGUCACCACGUGGGCUUUUCAGCAUGUUGUCAAACUAGUGAUGCCUGAUAAUUAUCCGAGGAUGCAUAAUUUCUCGUAAAAAUUGGUUCUUUUGUUCAUACAAUUGUCUAAAAAGUAUACAAACAUACUUUAGUACAUGUAAGUUAAUCACCAAGUUCUCGGCUUGUUCCGAUUAUCCAUUGAAAAUCAUCCUACUCCUACCAUGGUUUUUUGUCGGUUAAGAACUCCAUUCAGCAAAUUGUUGAAUAAACACUAUGCAUUGGAAGUGAAGUUGAAGGGUAUAGGAAUGUGCACUGCAAAUUCAGCAAAAAGUGAAAGCAAAA